rnacentral:rRNA from 1 species
UACGGAGGGUGCAAGCGUUAUCCGGAAUCACUGGGUUUAAAGGGUACGCAGGCGGUUAAAUAAGUCUGACGUGAAAGCUUGUGGCUUAACCAUGAAAAUGCGUUGGAUACUGUUUAACUAGAAUACGAUCGAAGUGGAUGGAAUGCGUCAUGUAGCGGUGAAAUGCAUAGAUAUGACGUAGAACACCAAAAGCGAAGGCA